rnacentral:snRNA from 1 species
ACACGCUGCGAAGGGCAAAGGGA